CGCGGAGUGGAGCAGUUGGCAGCUCGUCGGGCUCAUAACCCGAAGGUCAUAGGUUCAAGUCCUGUCUCCGCAA
rnacentral:tRNA from 1 species